GGGGAAAAAAAAGCAGCUUCAGGCUCAAAACUUGUCUGACUUGUUCAAGUGUUAUAGAAAAACACAAGCUUCAUGGUCAUUUCUUAUUCAACUGCUUAGAUACGUAAAUAAUUUACUACAGUGACUUUCCUUUGGUGAAACAUGGCUUCAUCACAACCAAUGAACCACCAAAUGAACUGUUCUACAUAUGAUGAAACAGUAGCAACACGUUCCUGUGUCAGGAUAACAUUCAAACUUAGCUGAGCCUCUCAAUACCUCUGAUUCCUUGGACCUCUCAACCUCUUUGCUGCUAUUUAUUUGUAAAAUGAGACUUACGUUAAAAAUGAUUAUUAUCUAAAAAUACCUCAAAUAUUAUCUAAAAAUACCUGGUC
rnacentral:lncRNA from 1 species